CGUUUUUCUAAGAAAAUUAAGCAAAGCGGCUCACGUAAUUUUUACUUAAUUUUUAAAUUACUUAAAUUUUAGCUUUCUUUGCUUAAUCUGUCAGCCUUGUUGUAAAUUACAUCCGUUCAGCAGCAUAACUUAGAAAGCCACAGAAUCAUGAAUGUAGCCAUCACAAAGAUACCUAAGUGUGACUUUCAAAAUGCUGGCAUCCAGUCUUGUGCUGUAUAUUCACUGUUGUGUAAUCUCUCCUUCUACCCUCUACUCUCAAAUCUAAAGAGUGUGCUUGCCCUUAAACCUCACUAACUCUGCUUCACCCUGACUCAUCUUAAAUUGUUGUCUGUAGUGUAGUCAAAGUCCAAGCUUUAUUUGAGUUUAGGUGCCUAAGGGAGGAGGGGCUUCUUAGGCUGUUGGCAGCAGUGCUGGACCCAUUUUCCCAGGGCGCCCAGCAGGGUUCAGAGUUUGAUGCCUCUGGUAAGCGAGUGCUGCCCCACUCUUCUUGAGACACCUAUUUGUACUUGCCUUUUUGUUACCUCAGCAUCUGUUGAUGCUCAAUGCCAAGCUUCCCUUAUUCAUAGGAGAUCAAACAUUAUAAUAUGGGCUGGCAACAUGGCUCAGUGGAUAAGAGCACCUGUCCUCAAACCUGACUCCUGACUUGGAUCCCAGGGAUUCACACAGUGGAAGAAGAGAACUGACACCCACAGGUUUUCCUCCAACCUCCAGAGCCAGAGUUCAGAUCCCACCACUACAUAACAGAUGAUAACCAUCCAGUUGCAGAGGAUCCAAUGCCCUCUUCUGCCUUUAUGGGCACCAGCACGAAUGUGGUAUACAGGCAUAUGUGCAGUCAAAACACCU
rnacentral:lncRNA from 1 species